CUAAGGUAGCAUAAUAGUUCGUCCCUUAAUUGGGGAAUAGUAUGAAUGGUCAGAUGGUGGAAAGCUUUAUUAAAAGUAUAGGUUGAAAUUUACUUUCAGGUGCAAAGGCCUGAAUAUAUUUAUUAGACGAGAAGACCCUGUUGAGCUUAGUAGUCCACAAGUCCGAGAGGUUUGUGGUUUAUAUUUUUUCGGGGCUGAAAGGAAGGGAAAGUUAUUCCUUCUUGGUGAGUAAAGAUCCAGCAUGGUUGAUAAGAGGAAGAUAGCUACCACAGGGAUAACAGCGCGAUCCAGCUGUCAAGAUCUUAUUUGAGGUAGGGUUUGC
rnacentral:rRNA from 1 species